GAGUUUGAUCAUGGCUCAGGAUGAACGCUGGCGGCGUGCUUAACACAUGCAAGUCGAACGGGGUAUAUAUGGAAGCGGGCUUCGGCCAGUGGAAGUAUGUACCUAGUGGCGGACGGGUGAGUAACGCGUGGGUAACCUGCCUUGCAGAGGGGGAUAACAGAGGGAAACUUCUGCUAAUACCGCAUAAGACCAUGGCUUUGCAUGAAGCUGUGGGGAAAGAUUUAUCGCUGCAAGAUGGACCUGCGUCUGAUUAGGUAGUUGGUGAGGUAAAGGCUCACCAAGCCGACGAUCAGUAGCCGAUCUGAGAGGAUGACCGGCCACAUUGGGACUGAGACACGGCCCAAACUCCUACGGGAGGCAGCAUGUGGGGAAUAUUGGAACAAUGGGGGCAACCCCUGAUCCAGCGACGCCGCGUGAGUGAAGAAGUAUCUUCGGUAUGUAAAGCUCUAUCAGCAGGGAAGAAAAUGACGUACUNCNAAGCCG
rnacentral:rRNA from 1 species